rnacentral:rRNA from 1 species
GGACUACUGGGGUUUCUAAUCCUGUUCGCUCCCCACGCUUUCGCUCCUCAGCGUCAGUUCCGGCCCAGACCACCGCCUUCGCCACCGGUGUUCCUCCUGAUAUCUGCGCAUUUCACCGCUACACCAGGAAUUCCGUGAUCCCCUACCGGACUCUAGCCAUGGCAGUAUCAAGUGGCAUCUCCAAGUUGAGCCUGGAGGUUUCACAUUUGACUUACCAAGCCGCCUACGAGCUCUUUACGCCCAAUGAAUCCGGACAACGCUCGCCCCCUACGUAUUACCGCGGCUGCUGGCAC